rnacentral:rRNA from 1 species
GAUGAACGCUGGCGGCGUGCCUAAUACAUGCAAGUCGAACGCUGGAAAUCUAGCUUGCUCGAUUGAAGGAGUGGCGAACGGGUGAGUAAUACAUAAGCAACCUACCCACGAAGACUGGGAUAAUCUCUGGAAACGGGGACUAAUACCGGAUAGGUAAUCGGAAGGCAUCCUCUGAUUAUUAAAGGUUAAAAACACUGGUGGAUGGGCUUAUGGCGCAUUAGUUAGUUGGUGAGGUAACGGCCCACCAAGACGAUGAUGCGUAGCCGGCCUGAGAGGGUGAACGGCCACAUUGGGACUGAGACACGGCCCAGACUCCUACGGGAGGCAGCAGUAGGGAAUUUUCGGCAAUGGGGGAAACCCUGACCGAGCAACGCCGCGUGAGUGAUGACGGCCUUCGGGUUGUAAAGCUCUGUUGUAAGGGAAGAACGGUAGAUAGAGAAUAUCUAAAUGACGGUACCUUACCAGAAAGCCACGGCUAACUACGUG